UCCAAAACCACAUUGUCGUUCCAGCAGCCACUUCCAGGCAGGCAGUUUUGAUCUGCAGUGUUUGUCAAGCAACUUAAUAUCCAACCUGUGCAUACAGUACUUCUGAAAGAUAUUUGCGAAGGAAAAUUGUUUGUCUAGAAUUCAAGGGAAUGGAAAUGGACUUUUGCCGUGAUUGAAUUCAUUAGAGGCUUAUUCUCUGAUUGCUUUUUUUUUAUAUUAUUUCCUGUAACUCUAAACUUUCAGUUAUUUCACUGAGAUUCUUUGUCCAACGUCAUGAAGUCAUCUGGAGCUUUUUUUCCCCUUUGUUUUUUAAUCCGAAGUAAUAUCUUCCCCUGAAAUAAAUUGGACAAAAUUAUAACCUAAAUCAGGUCCAGCUGCCUGCCGCUACAAAAGCCAAUGCUCAAGAGGCAGGUGCUGAUGGAAAGGAAAGUGGUUUAUGUUCAGAUGCCGGCCACCUGGAGGAUGGGGGACUCACGUCUCAAAGCCCAUCUCCCCAUCUCAGUGGAGGCAGGGGUUUUUAUAAGCCGGGAGAGGGGAGCAGCACAAAGAGACCAAGAGAAGGCAUGGAAAAGUUCUCUGUGUGCAGAUGAGCACAGUCCAGUCCAAUAAGGCAACUGACCAUCCGCUGUGCAUCAUCCUGGUGUGGUCACCCCGGCUUCACACCAUCCUGGCUCUGAGGUUGAAGGUCUGCGAAUUUCCCGGAGCUGAGAUGCCUCAAAGCUGGAGUCUGUAUCUUUUGAAGCUAGUUCCUAGGAUUCUCAUACAAACAUGCUGUUCAUCUACAAGCUACAUGUUAGUCAGAGUCCGCACUUAGAGACACAAUGUCAAAAGAAUGGUGGGGUGGGUUACAAUUUCCCACGGCUACAAUUUGCCACUUCGGCAUGUCAUUUUC